rnacentral:rRNA from 1 species
CCUACGGGGGGCAGCAGUGGGGAAUAUUGGACAAUGGGGGGAACCCUGAUCCAGCCAUGCCGCGUGUGUGAAGAAGGCCCUCGGGUUGUAAAGCACUUUCAGUGAGGAAGAACGCCUGGUGGUUAAUACCCAUCAGGAAAGACAUCACUCACAGAAGAAGCACCGGCUAACUCCGUGCCAGCAGCCGCGGUAAUACGGAGGGUGCGAGCGUUAAUCGGAAUUACUGGGCGUAAAGCGCGCGUAGGUGGCUUGAUAAGCCGGUUGUGAAAGCCCCGGGCGCAACCUGGGAACGGCAUCCGGAACUGUCAAGCUAGAGUGCAGGCGAGGAAGGUAGAAUUCCCGGUGUAGUGGUGAAAUGCGUAGAGAUCGGGAGGAAUACCAGUGGCGAAGGCGGCCUUCUGGACUGACACUGACACUGAGGUGCGAAAGCGUGGGUAGCAAACAGGAUUAGAUACCCGAGUAGUC